rnacentral:rRNA from 1 species
GACAGAGGGUGCAAACGUUGCUCGGAUUUACUGGGCGUAAAGCGCAUGUAGGCGGGACGAUAAGUCGGGUGUGAAAUCCCUGGGCUCAACCUAGGAACUGCAUCCGAAACUGCCGUUCUGGAGUAGUGGAGAGGAAAGCGGAAUUCCGGGUGUAGAGGUGAAAUUCGUAGAUAUCCGGAGGAACACCAGUGGCGAAGGCGGCUUUCUGGACACUAACUGACGCUGAGAUGCGAAAGCGUGGGGAGCAAACAGG